UGUUUAGUCACUGGGGUAAGCUUAUUAUUAUUUUAACGUUUGGCUCAUCAUUUUAAUGUAGUUUACAAUUUUAUAUCUGCUUAUAUCACAUGGUACAAGCACGUAUGUCGUUGAAUAUGCGAUUCUAAAUAUGUAUAUUUGGUAAUAUUUGAAAACAAAAUGUUGAUAUAACAUCCAGGGCUUUGGUAAUGACUAAGAAGACAUACUCGAUAUAACAUUCAGAGCACCCGUAGUGAUAUAAUGUUAUUUCAAAAGGCAGCUACAUAAUUGUCUCUUUCUGGAAAAUCAUCAUGUGGAUUUUUAAGCUAAGUCUCGAGCGUUGAUGUCAUCAGUUGAUCAAAUGUGUUAAAUACUACUAAAGGAAGAUUUAUGUCAAUAUUAUAAUCAAAUGAAGAAACUAUUGAUGGAAUGCGAGUACUUACUAGUUGAAAAUAAUAUUUGCAUAUGUGGAACGAGUCUCAAAUACAAUUGAGCAUGAACACGAAGGAAUAGUUAUCAUACAAGGAGCAG